rnacentral:ncRNA from 2 species
AUUUCAUUAUGGGAAUCAACGUGUAUAACCCCGAUAAUAUGGUUCGGGGGUCUCUACCAGGAACCGUCAAUAUCCUGAUUACAAAAGUUAUUUUUGUAAUC